AUUGAACGCUGGCGGCAGGCCUAACACAUGCAAGUCGAGCGGAUGAAGGGAGCUUGCUCCUGGAUUCAGCGGCGGACGGGUGAGUAAUGCCUAGGAAUCUGCCUGGUAGUGGGGGAUAACGUCCGGAAACGGGCGCUAAUACCGCAUACGUCCUGAGGGAGAAAGUGGGGGAUCUUCGGACCUCACGCUAUCAGAUGAGCCUAGGUCGGAUUAGCUAGUUGGUGGGGUAAAGGCCUACCAAGGCGACGAUCCGUAACUGGUCUGAGAGGAUGAUCACUCACCUUGGAACUGGGACACGGUCAAGACUCCUACGGGAGGCACCAGUGGGGAAUAUUGGACAGUGGGCGAAAGCCUGACACAGCCAUGCGGCGUGUGUGAAGAAGGUCUUCGGAUUGUAAUGACCUUUAAGUUGGGAGGAAGGGCAGUAAGUUAAUACCUUGCUGUUUUGACGUUACAAACAGAAGAAGCACCGGCUAACUUCGUG
rnacentral:rRNA from 1 species